UACGGAGGAUCCGAGCGUUAUCCGGAUUUAUUGGGUUUAAAGGGUGCGCAGGCGGGGGAUUAAGUCGGCGGUGAAACUUUGCAGCUCAACUGUAAAAGUGCCAUCGAUACUGGUUUUCUUGAGUGUGGAUGAAGUAGGCGGAAUUUGUGGUGUAGCGGUGAAAUGCAUAGAUAUCACGAGGAACUCCGAUUGCGCAGGCAGCUUACUAAACUACUACUGACGCUCAGGCACGAAGGCGUGGGGAUCAAACAGGAUUAGAUACCCU
rnacentral:rRNA from 1 species